GGUGAACGCUGGCGGCGUGCUUAAGACAUGCAAGUCGAACGGCAGUCUUCGGACUGUAGUGGCGCACGGGUGAGUAACGCGUAACUGACCUACCCCAAAGUCGCGGAUAACGAUUCGAAAGAAUCGCUAAUACGUGAUGUGCUGUCAGAUUGUGUUCUGCCAGUAAAGAUUGAUUGCUUUGGGAUGGGGUUGCGUUCCAUCAGCUAGUUGGUGGGGUAAAGGCCCACCCAGGCGACGCCGGAUAGCCGGCCUGAGAGGGUGGCCGGCCACAGGGGCACUGAGGCACGGGUACCACUCCUACGGGAGGCAGCAGUGAGGAAUCGUCCACAAUGGGCGAAAGCCUGAUGGAGCGACGCCGCGUGAGGGAUGAAGGUCUUCGGAUCGUAAACCUCUGAAUCAGGGACGAAAGACACUUCGGUGGGAUGACGGUACCUGAGUAAUAGCACCGGCUAACUCCGUGCCAGCCGCCGCGGUAAUAC
rnacentral:rRNA from 1 species